UACGGGGGGAGCAAGCGUUGUUCGGAAUCACUGGGCGUAAAGGGCGCGUAGGCGGCCCGCACAAGUCUGCGGUGAAAACCCCCGGCUUAACCGGGGGCCGGCCGUGGAAACUGUCGGGCUGGAGGCUGGGAGAGGGCAGCGGAAUUCCCGGUGUAGCGGUGAAAUGCGCAGAUAUCGGGAGGAACACCUAUUGCGAAGGCAGCUCGCUGGGACGGUACUGACGCUGAGACGCGAAAGCGUGGGGAGCAAACAGG
rnacentral:rRNA from 1 species